rnacentral:rRNA from 1 species
UCCCCGCACAAGCAGCGGAGCGUGUGGUUUAAUUCGAUGCUACACGAAGAACCUUACCUGGGUUUGACAUAGAGGUAGUAGGGAAGCGAAAGCGGACGACCCUUCGGGAGCCUCUACAGGUGUUGCAUGGCUGUCGUCAGCUCGUGUCGUGAGAUGUUCGGUUAAGUCCGCUAACGAGCGCAACCCUCGCUGUGUGUUACAAGUGUCACACGGUACUGCCGAUAUUAAGUCGGAGGAAGGUGGGGAUGACGUCAAGUCAGCAUGACCUUUAUAUCCAGGGCUACACACACGCUACAAUGGCCAGUACAAUGGGUUGCCAAGCCGCGAGGCGGAGCCAAUCCUAAAAAGCUGGCCUCAGUUCAGAUUGCAGUCUGCAACUCGACUGCAUGAAGUUGGAGUUGCUAGUAACCGCAGGUCAGCUAUACUGCGGUGAAUACGUUCCCGGGGAUU